ensembl:snoRNA SNORA66 Small nucleolar RNA SNORA66
GUGCAGACUCGAUCACUAGCUCUGCAUGAUGUUGUAGGAGUGAGGGGAACCAGGUUUGCUAAAGUAAUUGUGGUGAUAGAAAUGGAUUCGCCUUGGAUGCUAUCAAGGUGGUCUACUCUGUCCCAGUACAUUA